GUUUUUUUUUCAUCUAUUUUUGUUUAAUUUAGAUACGUUUUGGUGCGUUGUUUUGAUAAUGUGUCGGUUUUAAGUGAUAUCUAUCGUCCAAUAAACAAUUGCCUUGAUAACACAAUGUUUGCCCUUAGAUUUGUGUUGCUGAGUGACUAAUAAAGUCUCUUGUAUGGACAGUGUAUUAUUUACAAACUAUUUUGUACAUACACCUUCCUAAUUUAUUUCUGCAUUUGUUAUGAAUAAAAUAGCAAAUAGGAGUGCAAUCACAUUGGAAAAAUUGUGGCUUGAAUUUAAAUGAAAAAAAGUAACCUGGUCAUGUUAGAAAAUGUAAAAAUGAGAACACCAGAAGCU
rnacentral:lncRNA from 1 species